rnacentral:rRNA from 1 species
UACGAAGGGGGCUAGCGUUGUUCGGAAUCACUGGGCGUAAAGCGCACGUAGGCGGACUUUCAAGUCAGGGGUGAAAUCCCGGAGCUCAACUUCGGAAUUGCCUUUGAUACUGGGGAUCUCGAGUCCGGAAGAGGUGAGUGGAACUGCGAGUGUAGAGGUGAAAUUCGUAGAUAUUCGCAAGAACACCAGUGGCGAAGGCGGCUCACUGGUCCGGUACUGACGCUGAGGUGCGAAAGCGUGGGGAGCAAACAGGG